AGCAGCCCAGAGCCUGAAUCAGUGUGUGUGUUAGUGGAAGCGUCUGGAAAGGCGCGCGAUACAGGGUGACAGCCCCGUACACAAAAAUGCACAUAUUGUGAGCUCGAUGAGUAGGGCGGGACACGUGGUAUCCUGUCUGAAUAUGGGGGGCCCAUCCUCCAAGGCUAAAUACUCCUGACUGACCGAUAGUGAACCAGUACCGUGAGGGAAAGGCGAAAAGAACCCCGGCGAGGGGAGUGAAAAAGAACCUGAAACCGUGUACGUACAAGCAGUGGGAGCACGCUUAGGCGUGUGACUGCGUACCUUUUGUAUAAUGGGUCAGCGACUUAUAUUCUGUAGCAAGGUUAACCGAAUAGGGGAGCCGAAGGGAAACCGAGUCUUAACUGGGCGUUAAGUUGCAGGGUAUAGACCCGAAACCCGGUGAUCUAGCCAUGGGCAGGUUGAAGGUUGGGUAACACUAACUGGAGGACCGAACCGACUAAUGUUGAAAAAUUAGCGGAUGACUUGUGGCUGGGGGUGAAAGGCCAAUCAAACCGGGAGAUAGCUGGUUCUCCCCGAAAGCUAUUUAGGUAGCGCCUCGUGAAUUCAUCUCCGGGGGUAGAGCACUGUUUCGGCAAGGGGGUCAUCCCGACUUACCAACCCGAUGCAAACUGCGAAUACCGGAGAAUGUUAUCACGGGAGACACACGGCGGGUGCUAACGUCCGUCGUGAAGAGGGAAACAACCCAGACCGCCAGCUAAGGUCCCAAAGUCAUGGUUAAGUGGGAAACGAUGUGGGAAGGCCCAGACAGCCAGGAUGUUGGCUUAGAAGCAGCCAUCAUUUAAAGAAAGCGUAAUAGCUCACUGGUCGAGUCGGCCUGCGCGGAAGAUGUAACGGGGCUAAACCAUGCACCGAAGCUGCGGCAGCGACGCUUAUGCGUUGUUGGGUAGGGGAGCGUUCUGUAAGCCUGCGAAGGUGUGCUGUGAGGCAUGCUGGAGGUAUCAGAAGUGCGAAUGCUGACAUAAGUAACGAUAAAGCGGGUGAAAAGCCCGCUCGCCGGAAGACCAAGGGUUCCUGUCCAACGUUAAUCGGGGCAGGGUGAGUCGACCCCUAAGGCGAGGCCGAAAGGCGUAGUCGAUGGGAAACAGGUUAAUAUUCCUGUACUUGGUGUUACUGCGAAGGGGGGACGGAGAAGGCUAUGUUGGCCGGGCGACGGUUGUCCCGGUUUAAGCGUGUAGGCUGGUUUUCCAGGCAAAUCCGGAAAAUCAAGGCUGAGGCGUGAUGACGAGGCACUACGGUGCUGAAGCAACAAAUGCCCUGCUUCCAGGAAAAGCCUCUAAGCAUCAGGUAACAUCAAAUCGUACCCCAAACCGACACAGGUGGUCAGGUAGAGAAUACCAAGGCGCUUGAGAGAACUCGGGUGAAGGAACUAGGCAAAAUGGUGCCGUAACUUCGGGAGAAGGCACGCUGAUAUGUAGGUGAAGUCCCUUGCGGAUGGAGCUGAAAUCAGUCGAAGAUACCAGCUGGCUGCAACUGUUUAUUAAAAACACAGCACUGUGCAAACACGAAAGUGGACGUAUACGGUGUGACGCCUGCCCGGUGCCGGAAGGUUAAUUGAUGGGGUCAGCGCAAGCGAAGCUCUUGAUCGAAGCCCCGGUAAACGGCGGCCGUAACUAUAACGGUCCUAAGGUAGCGAAAUUCCUUGUCGGGUAAGUUCCGACCUGCACGAAUGGCGUAAUGAUGGCCAGGCUGUCUCCACCCGAGACUCAGUGAAAUUGAACUCGCUGUGAAGAUGCAGUGUACCCGCGGCAAGACGGAAAGACCCCGUGAACCUUUACUAUAGCUUGACACUGAACAUUGAGCCUUGAUGUGUAGGAUAGGUGGGAGGCUUUGAAGUGUGGACGCCAGUCUGCAUGGAGCCGGCCUUGAAAUACCACCCUUUAAUGUUUGAUGUUCUAACGUGGACCCGUGAUCCGGGUUGCGGACAGUGUCUGGUGGGUAGUUUGACUGGGGCGGUCUCCUCCUAAAGAGUAACGGAGGAGCACGAAGGUUGGCUAAUCCUGGUCGGACAUCAGGAGGUUAGUGCAAUGGCAUAAGCCAGCUUGACUGCGAGCGUGACGGCGCGAGCAGGUGCGAAAGCAGGUCAUAGUGAUCCGGUGGUUCUGAAUGGAAGGGCCAUCGCUCAACGGAUAAAAGGUACUCCGGGGAUAACAGGCUGAUACCGCCCAAGAGUUCAUAUCGACGGCGGUGUUUGGCACCUCGAUGUCGGCUCAUCACAUCCUGGGGCUGAAGUAGGUCCCAAGGGUAUGGCUGUUCGCCAUUUAAAGUGGUACGCGAGCUGGGUUUAGAACGUCGUGAGACAGUUC
rnacentral:rRNA from 1 species